AGAAAUUGUUAAAUGGAGACUUGAAUAUGCUGGUAUUCGUCUUGCAACUUUAUUGAAUGCUAUUUUUGAUCAACCACCUCCACAAUAAAUUAUUUUUGAUC
rnacentral:ribozyme from 1 species